rnacentral:lncRNA from 1 species
ACUAUAUAAGCCCCGGUUGCUGUCCAAGACGCUAUACCCACUAAACAGACAACAUGAAGUAUCUCGCUCUUCUCCUGGUCAUUGCAGUCUUCACCCUCAACGCUGGCGAGGUGAGUGGCCAGCAGUGUGCGGGCUCCUGUAAGAACGAGGCACAUGGUGGACACGACUUCUGCGUUGCUGAGUGUGCUUCCUGCGCACAUGGAGCCCACUGUGACCAUCACAAUGACGUCUGUAUCUGCCCAAACGCUUAGGGAUGUUCUCCUGUACACGGUUUUGGAUGUCUUCACAUGAAGCAAAUACUUAAAUAAAAUUGUGUCAUAUUUUA